rnacentral:rRNA from 1 species
UACAGAGGUCUCAAGCGUUUGUUCGGAUUCAUUGGGCGUAAAGGGCGCGUAGGCUGCGGGGUAAGUCGGGUGUGAAAUCUCAGGGCUCAACCCUGAAACUGCACUCGAUACUGCUCUGCUUGAGGACUGGAGAGGAGACUGGAAUUCACGGUGUAGCAGUGAAAUGCGUAGAUAUCGUGAGGAAGACCAGUGGCGAAGGCGGGUCUCUGGACAGUUCCGUGACGCUGAGGCGCGAAGGCCAGGGGAGCAAACGGG